GAUGAACGCUGGCGGCGUGCCUAAUACAUGCGAGUCGAGCGAACGGACGAGAAGCUUGCUUCUCUGAUGUUAGCGGCGGACGGGUGAGUAACACGUGGAUAACCUACCUAUAAGACUGGGAUAACUUCGGGAAACCGGAGCUAAUACCGGAUGAUAUUUUGAACUGCAUGGUUCAAAAGUGAAAGACGGUCUUGCUGUCACUUAUAGAUGGAUCCGCGCUGCAUUAGCUAGUUGGUAAGGUAACGGCUUACCAAGGCAACGAUGCAUAGCCGACCUGAGAGGGUGAUCGGCCACACUGGAACUGAGACACGGUCCAGACUCCUACGGGAGGCAGCAGUAGGGAAUCUUCCGCAAUGGGCGAAAGCCUGACGGAGCAACGCCGCGUGAGUGAUGAAGGUCUUCGGAUCGUAAAACUCUGUUAUUAGGGAAGAACAUAUGUGUAAGUAACUGUGCACAUCUUGACGGUACCUAAUCAGAAAGCCACGGCUAACUACGUG
rnacentral:rRNA from 1 species